rnacentral:rRNA from 1 species
AUUGAACGCUGGCGGCAGGCCUAACACAUGCAAGUCGAGCGGAUGAAGGGAGCUUGCUCCUGGAUUCAGCGGCGGACGGGUGAGUAAUGCCUAGAAAUCUGCCUGGUAGUGGGGGAUAACGUCCGGACACGGGCGCUAAUACCGCAUACGUCCUGAGGGAGAAAGUGGGGGAUCUUCGGACCUCACGCUAUCAGAUGAGCCUAGGUCGGAUUAGCUAGUUGGUGGGGUAAAGGCCUACCAAGGCGACGAUCCGUAACUGGUCUGAGAGGAUGAUCAGUCACACUGGAACUGAGACACGGUCCAGACUCCUACGGGAGGCAGCAGUGGGGAAUAUUGGACAAUGGGCGAAAGCCUGAUCCAGCCAUGCCGCGUGUGUGAAGAAGGUCUUCGGAUUGUAAAGCACUUUAAGUUGGGAGGAAGGGCAGUAAGUUAAUACCUUGCUGUUUUGACGUUACCAACAGAAUAAGCACCGGCUAACUUCGUG